rnacentral:lncRNA from 1 species
GCCCUGUGCCAGCAACAAUGUAACGCAUUCCAGUGACAUUUGACAAUGAGCAGACAGAAGAGGCAUUACACGCGUCUUUAGAAGAAUCAGGCUUCCUACCUUCAAGAGACAGAUGGAGGAGGCUCCAGAACUCUGAGGGAAAUCGUAAUGAGGGGAGAGCAGACACACCAACAACAGUGAUCUGGAUGCCACGCAGUGCUCAGUACCAUGGGAGUCUGACAGAUGGGAGUGAUAGUCCCAGCAGCUCAGGGCGAUCUGCAUGGAUGCUAUGAGGCUUUCCUUGUGUUGCUGAUGUGAUUUGGUG